rnacentral:misc_RNA from 1 species
AAGAGAUUUCCUGCCCUCUUGGGUAGACCUCCAACCCUUUGUAUAUCAUACCAUUGUUGCUUUGGCAGGCCCGUCUCCGACCGCCGGUGUACUCUGGCCAGCGCCUGCCAGAGGAUCCAACUCUGAAUAUAUGUAGUCCGAGCACUUUAAAACAGUUA